UUGUAAGCAAAGACAACACCGCGACCUUGAGUUCUCAGCUGCCCAUGUUAACAGCAACUCAAAGACUCCAAAACCUGCGGAAGAAGCCGUGAAAAAGCAAAGACGACCUGCUGCAAACAGUUAUGGAUC